AAUUUUAUUUCCGCAAUUACUCUAAUGAUAUCGUGGCUAACUUAAAUGUGUAGAUCAACUAUGAUUUGCAAGUAAAAGCCAUGAAGAUAAUUAAGAAUAUGAAGAAAUGAUGAGAUUUUAUAUGGUCACCUCGUCAAAUGUCAAACCAUGAGAUGGACACGGUUUGCAGUGGAUGAAGGACAAACGAGGAGAUAGAUCUUGAGACACUCCACUUUCUCUGGACCAGUCCCCGAGUUGGAAACCUUUAUUUUCCGGAUUAAAUACGAUGCUCCCUUACAAACUUUGCUGAGUAAAGUGUCAGCAUUGGAGUGUAAGAUAAUCAAAUUAGGCUGCUGGGUCCAUGUUCUUUUUCCACACUUUAGGUGAUCUAUCACCAGAUAAAGCCAGCAACCCAAUAAUCGACAGGCAAAGCACGACCAGGAACCGAGUGAAAUUAGGAAAGAGAUGAAAAAGGAGGAGAAUCCUAGGAGCUCACCUCAUCUCUCUCUCUCUCUCUCUCGCUCUCGCUCUCGCUCUCUCUAGAGCAUGUGAACGAGAGUUAAUUCCCAUGGAUAUAAGAGAUCGAAGAAAGUUGCAGACGGUAAGAGAGAAGCAAAUCAUGGGGAGAUCAGAGAUAGAGGAGAGGUGCAGGAGGCACCCAGAGCAUAGGCAGUCCAAAGGGGUGUGCCCGUUCUGCCUCAGGGAUCGGCUGUCUCAACUCGCAGCCUCGUCCUCUGCCUCCACCACUCUGGCUUCUUCUGCUACCUCCUCUUCUCCAGACCCCAACCUCUCUUCUGCGGCUUCCUCCCCACCCAAUCAAUUCCCCACCGCAAGGCUCCUCAAGCACAGGCCGCUGAAGAAGAGCCGGUCGCUGGCCUUCAUGAUCGGAAGACCAGGAGAUGAGAACAACGGGAAGAAGAGAGAGGUUGGAAAGGAGAAGGAGAAGAAGAGGAGAAAGGAAGGGAGCUUCUGGUCGAAGCUGCUGAUCGGAUCUGACAGGAGGAAAGAGGUGGAUGAUAAGAUAUUACAUUCUAGGACCAUGAAAGAUAAAGACUGCUACUAAGUGGGCGAGGUUCUGAUCUAUGUUUCCUUCCCGUUCAUUUUCCAACUGUGCGAUUCAAUGAGAAGAUAAAGGGAAAAAAAAAGAAUGGUGUCGGAAUAAGGUCCUGGUUCAAAGAUUUUAUGUUUUCUGUUUCCUUGUUAGUAUUACGGCCACCCCUUUUUUUUAUUGCAUAGACAGUUCGUUCCCUAAAAGAGAGUUUGUGUUUAAUGUGUUUGAGAAAGGUAUAUGAGAGAUAGGUUGAGAUCUUGUAAAUAACCUGCUUUUGAUCUAGACACUAGAAUCGAAGUUUCGAUUGAGAUCA